GACCGACUGCGCUUCGCGGCAGGAAACAAUUCCCCGGGGCCUUACGCAUCCUAUGGGAGCUGUCACUGAUUGGACCCGUGGGUUCUUUCACACGGCGCCCACCUACUUCGGUAGGUUCCCGGGAUGCCGUUUUCCACCGGUUGCCGCGGUUGGUUA
rnacentral:other from 1 species